rnacentral:rRNA from 1 species
AUGGCGACCUUCACAUCCCGCACGAAGCCCCACGUCAACGUGGGCACCAUCGGGCACGUCGACCACGGCAAGACCACCCUCACCGCCGCCAUCACCAAGGUGCUAGCCGAGGCGGGGGCCUUUAGUAAGGCGGUGCCGUGCAACCAGAUCGACAACGCCCCCGGUGAGAGAUCUAGAGGAAUCACCCUCUCGACGGCUCAUGUCGAAUACGAGACCGCCAAGAGGCACUACGCCCAUGCGGACUGUCCAGGGCAUGUCGAUUUCACCAAGAACGUGAUCACGGGAGCUGCUCAAAUGGAUGGUGCUAUUCUCGUCGUGUCAGCUCUUGAUGGCGUGAUGCCACAAACAAGGGAGCAUAUUAUUCUAGCUCGACAGAUUGGGGUGUCGUCAAUUGUUUGUUUCGUGAACAAACUUGACGUAGUUCGAGAUGAAGAUUUAACAGAUUUAGUUGAGAUGGAGCUUCGUGAGGUCCUCAGUCUCUACAUGUUCCCUGGCGACGAGAUUCCUAUCAUCCAUGGAUCUGCUUUGGCAGCCUUGGAAGGAAGGGACGAGGAGAUUGGAAAGAAUGCUAUUUUGAAACUGAUAGAUGCCGUUGAUUCAUACAUCCCUGAUCCUGUGAGGGUGCUUGAUAAGUCUUUCUUGAUGCCAGUUGAAGGGAUUGUCUCAAUUCAGGAUCAUGGUACUGUUGUGACUGGACGUAUUGAACGGGGGGUAAUUAAAACUGGUGAGGAUGUUGAGGUCAUAGGGUUGACGGAGAGUGGUCCCAUGAAGACCACAGUUACUGGUGUUGAGAUGUUCAAAAAGAUGAUGGAUCAUGGAGAGGCUGGUGACUAUGUUUGUCUUCUUCUCCAUGGUCUUAUGUGCGGUGAUGUCGAGCGUGGCCAGGUGGUGUGCAAACCCGGCACUGUAAAGACCUACAAGAAGUUUGAGGCCCAAAUUUACGUCCUCACCAAGAAUGAAGGCGGUCGCCACACGGCCUUCUUCUCAAAUUAUAUCCCACAGUUCUACUUCAGGACAACUGGUAUCUGUGGAAAAAUCGAGUUGCCUCUGCAUGUGAACAUGGUUAUGCCUGGUGACAGCAUAACUGCAACCUUUGAGUUGAUGUUGCCUGCUCCGCUCGAACCAGGUCUAAGAUUCACGCUGAGGGAAGGAGGGAGGACCGUCGGCGCCGGAAUGGUCACCAGAGUCAUGAGCUAA